AGCAGUGACAUGGUGCAAGGGUGUGCUUAAUCAAGUAUUUGAGUACCUGCCCUGAAGAAAGAUCAGGGCUUUCAGCCACAGUGCCUGUAUUGACAGGCACAUGUCCCUGGAGCGGCACAGUGCUCCCUUCUGUCUAUUUUGCCUUAAGUCCAGGAGCAUCACCAGAGGGGGCAGUUAGGGUUAGUUCUUCUUCAUCACCAUAGCAGGACUUGUCAGCAGCCUCUGUCCAAAAGGUUUUUCAUGAGACAUAGAAUUUGCAGUUCUUGAGUCCAUUUAGUUAAUGGUACAUGGAUUCCUGAGCAUCUCUUGUUAGUUUAUAUUACACAUUUGUAUGAGUUUAAUUCUCAGAUACCGGUUUUAUAUAAAGAUAUACAUUAUUUUCCAAAUACAUUAUACACGUGCACCACAAACAUUUCCAUUAUUUGUGUAUUGAACAGAUGGUGGACUGAGCAGCUCUGUCACAAGAGCCCAGGCAGCAAAUCCAAGGCCUUGCACUAUUCUCAGUAUUAUUCUUUCUUGUCCAGGAACACCGUUUACUUGGAAAAUGUUUUUCUCAGUAAAAUUUCUCAACUAUUUCUAUUUAAAUGCUUUUUGUUUUUUUAGUAGUAACUGAGUGUCCAACCUGCCUUUUUGUGUACUACCAUUCUGUGCCAGCUAAACACUCCCCUUGCAGCCCCACCUAACUCAGCUUUCCCUUUCUCUCCUCGUUGGUGCUUUUCUAAGCACUGAUUAGAACCCUCUGAAAUGACCCUGCAUCUUGUUCGGCACGAUCUGCUUCCUGGUGUUCACUGCCCCCACAUGCCUUCUGCUUCUGGGAAGAGAUGGCCAAGCCCUGCUCAGGUGGGAGGCUGCCCAGGAUCCCCAGGUGCCAACUCUUGGGGUCUCCUCUUGUCCCCAGCAUAAUGAGUCUGAGCCACAUAGCCAGGAUAUGAAAGCAGACAAAGCCUUGUGUAAAAAGACUACUGAUAAAAAGGAUGAUUUUGAGGAGCUACCAAAUUGCCAUGUGGAGCCUCAUCUUUAUGGAAACCUAUGAAAUACACAAAAAAUACUCUGUGAUAUGUAGCUCUCAAAUUUUAGAAAAAAGACCAAAAAGACAAGCCCCAAAAUCCUGUUUGCAUAUUCUGGCAACAGGCCAUUUACAAGGCAUUUGACCAUUUAGCCUCAGUUAAGACCUCUUUUAAGGCACAGUGUAAGUUUGCAUUGCCUGGAUUUUCUCUGAGUCCCCAGUCUCAGUUGUUGAUGGAAGAUAUGGUAAAUAAUGCUGGACCCUUGAAAAACACAGAUUAAUUGUAUGAAAAUGUCACACAGGUCAAGGGGAAUUGUGUUUCAUCUUAUUUACUGAUAAAGGGCAGCAUCACCACUGGAAUUUGUAUAUCCUAACAUGCUCACUUAUUUGGCACUCCUUAAUGGAAAACAUGGAGCAAUUUUAUGCAGACAAUGCUGUAAUGGAAAAUAAUUGAAGACAGACAUGGUUUGGGGUUUUGUUUUGUUGUUGUUUUUUUUUUUUAACAAUGUAUGCCAGAUCCUGAAUGCAACAAUCCUUUUUUUUUUCCCAGCGUAAAUGCAGCCAGUGCUUGAACCACAUAUGAAACCACAGUUCUGAGGCUCUAACUUCACAGCCAGCUAAAAAUGACCAAAACAACAUCUGCUACAGUUAGAAUUUGAAAGUGCUUUUUUACUUUGUAGAGUCCCUUUCUCUGCUGAACUCACUAGAGUUACUGUUUUGUACCUGGAUUAUCUGAGUAAACAGAAAACUCAAUGGUUUUCUGAACUUCAGCAAAGGAUUUGUGUGAAAAUCAUUCACACAAAAAUGGGUGAAGUAACACGAGUGCUUGAAUCUGUAUGUAGUAUCUGAAGCAUUUCUUGUUAUGUCUUCCACAAUGCUGUAGCAGUUAAAGCUUCUUUUAAGUCAGUGUACACUUUGACAUUCCCUUGCUUUUUAUGGUUUUAAACAUCAGUGUUUACCUCUGCAUAAGUGAAGCUGUCAACACAGCACUUCUAAUAUUAAUGUGACAUAUAUGUCUAUUCUUGUUGCUCUUGUUGUUAUUAAUAGUAAUCAUAAUAUUUGAGUUAUGGUAGUACCUCAAGGCCCAGCCCUCUUCUCACUAAGCUUUUACAAAACAAAGCAAAGGGAGGGUCCUUUCCUAGACAGAUCAGUUGAAAAUCAUGGAGAGGGAGAACAGUGAGCUGGGGCAGGUCAAAAGAGAUGAAGUAAAGGUGAUGGUGACACAUGUGUCAGAGGAAUCAGAAAUAAUCAAGUUUAAUUGAUUUGGAAGGUCAAAUACAUUUCAGUACUCUUGCACAUGUUGGAGCAUUAAAUUAUGGUUAUGGGAGUGGAAUGGAAAGCAAAUAGCAGAAAAUGGAUGCUGAGACAUAAUAAAUUUUCUUGUACUAAGUCAUUUAUUGUCAUGUUGCAAAAGGUGUCACAUUGCAAAAAGUUACUGUCUUUUUCUUUAUUGAUAAAAUAUGAAUAUUUCCACAGUGAGGUCAGAAAUCAUGGAAAAGGUACAAUAUGAAAGGCUUUGCUGUUUGAUCAUUAUGCCCUACUGCUGCUGAGCCUCUUUUUAGGGAUGUAAAGAGUAAUUCUAUGGCCAUGUUUUAAUUAUUUGACCAUUACUGAUAGUGCUGUGAAACAAAUAUCUCUGCUGUUCAUUGUUGCAAGGUUACAGAAAUUGUGGGCAAGCGCAGGCAUUAAGAAAACUUUAAGUAUUCUACUUGCACUGCUAUGUAUUGGUGGAGUGGAAGACAGGAAAUCCAACCUCCUAAAUUACAUAUUAAUAAAAAACAGCAUCAUUUUGAGCUGGUGAAUAUGAAUAUGGGUUGUUUUUUCCCCUUCAAAAUCUGACUUGCACACACUUGCUGAAGGGGAAAAUGCAGCUUUGUUGUGCCUAACUGGCACAGAUCCAAUGUGCUGAUGACACAGUUUUAAAUCCUGCAUAAAGUCAAAGAUGCAACUAAAGGAAGUAAAGAUGGGCUAUGUUAGAAGUUUUUAGAAAUAGCUGUAUGUGGAAAUGGACCACAGUUUUCAGAUGACUCAGGAGUGCUGCCUCCAUCUGUCCGCCUUGCCGGCGUGAUAAUGGAGGCGAUUAGUGAAUUGCCAACAUGGCAAGUAACAGCUUCCCUGGUGGCAUUGGCUUUGACUGAUUUUAUGCAGCAGUGAGAGGCUCCAUGUUUCAUUCCCAGAGACUCCACAUCCCAGAUCAGAGGUUAUAGGGAUGGGAGGGCAGAAGCAGUAUGAUGUCUUCAUUACCCGGAGGAAAAAAGCCAAUUAUGCUGAACACUGAACACCAGUGCUGUUCCCCCAACUGCCAUUGGCAUCAGCUCCUGAGACAUGGGGUUGCCAAGUGUCUUGGCCAAUAUCUGUCCUGGAAACUGGAGGCAUCAAGAAAAAUGAAAAGGAAAAAAAAAAUAAAUAAAAAAAAAGGAAGAAGAUUAAAGGAAUUAUAGGACUGACAAAGGAAGACAAUUCUAGGGUCUGGUUCUCCAGCUAGUAUCAACUCCCUGUGAACAGCAAAGACUUCAACACUUCAACAAGAUUAUUUAUGGACUGGACUCUAACAGGAUAGUUUGGGAAUACAUCAGUUUGCUAUUAAACAAAUAUACAUGUGAAUAUUUGUAUUUGUGUGUAGCCAAAUUACCUGGGAGUGCAUGGGAUUACCCAAACAUAGAGAAUAGGAAAUCCCUCUGCAGUUAUCAUGAGCUUAUAGCUGUACACAGCAGUGUCUCUGUAGUGUCGAGGUGCAUUUCUGUGCUCAUUAGGGGAAGGACAGCAUCUCACUUCAGCUUUCCCUGCCAGCUCUUCCCACAGUGCCAAGCAAUGGCUCUAGCCUACAGAUGUCAGAAGCUUUUUUCUCUCUGUCAUUAUUCAGCCCUUCUUAAGGUUUAUGAGGACAUAUAUGAUGGUUGAAACCUGAAGGAAGUACGUGUUUUCAGAACCUGUGAUAUCCAUAUCCCUUCCACCAAGAAACAGUGAGCGUGAAUCUGCCUGGUUGUCACUGAAAUAUCUUCCCAUAACCACCACUGAAAAGAGAUUGUGCUCUCACCCCCUGAAAAGAAAGCAUUAACACUUCUGAAGGUCUCUUUAGCAGCAUGAUAAGCUUAGUACAUUUGAGGCCUGGGAGUUAUUUACAGAAUUUUUAUGGGAAGCCAAGUACAUCAAUAAGCACAUUGAAACUAUCUACUGGGACAGUGGAUUAUAGGAAAACUGAGAGCGCCAAGCUUCAGAAUUGUGAAAAUAUUUUGAACUGUGCAAACAAUGAAUGUGAUGCCCUAUUAUGCAGUUUGAGUUGAGACAUCCAUUUAUAUGAGCUCACUUUAUAAGAUGUCAUUUGAUACCAUAUGGUGAAAAUAAAUAAGUAAAUAAAUUUCUUUUGUACAA